GAAGUCCCGCAGGGAUGAGUAGAGUGGCAAACGGGUGAGUAACGCGUGGGUGACCUGCCUUCGAGUGGGGGAUAACGUUUCGAAAGGAACGCUAAUACCGCAUGAUAUCCCGCUUUUUAACAGGUGGAGAUCAAAGCCGGGGAUCGCAAGACCUGGCGCUUGAAGAGGGGCCCGCGUCCGAUUAGCUAGUUGGUGGGGUAAUGGCUCACCAAGGCAUCGAUCGGUAGCCGGCCUGAGAGGGCGGACGGCCACACUGGGACUGAGACACGGCCCGGACUCCUACGGGAGGCAGCAGUAGGGAAUUGUUCGCAAUGGGCGCAAGCCUGACGACGCAACGCCGCGUGGAGGAUGAAGACCUUCGGGUCGUAAACUCCUUUCGAUCGAGACGAAUGGCCUCCGGGUGAACAAUCCGGAGGAAUGACGGUACCGAGAGAAGAAGCCCCGGCUAACUCCGUGCCAGCAGCCGCGGUAAUACGG
rnacentral:rRNA from 1 species